UUUGUCGUCACCAUACUAUCGGAUGGUUGGCAAGGAAAAGUGCAUAACGUUAGCGGAGUAUUACUCCACACUAGAGAGCUCCCUGCUGGAUGUUUGAAGGUAUCAGUUGAUAUUGCAGUUGAGCCGAAUGCGAGCAUUACCAUAUCCUAGCGAUGAUUCAGAUGCAACAACGGUGCACGAAGCAGUAGGUUCGUUUGUUGCAUGGCCGACAAACCUCAUGCGUAGAUAUGAG
rnacentral:lncRNA from 1 species